ensembl:lncRNA
GACUCACCCCUGCAGCUGCUGACCAGGAGGCCAGUGGUGCCAGGAAAGGCACCAGGGCCACAGGCAGGGGCUUAAGAGGACCCAGGGGACAGGAAGCUCAGUGUUUGGUGCCCCUGGUAAGGGAAGCACAAACCUUGCCCUGGGCUAGGUCUUUUCCAGAGCCCUGGUGGAUGAGGGAUGUCCCGGGGGCUCUCUGGGCCAGGGGGUCAGUUCCAGAAUGACACAGUUAGCAUCUACCUGCUGAAGCUCUAGGGAAGGGCCCUCCUAUCAUGUCACUGAUGUUAAGUCAUUCAUACUUGCCGUUGGGCCAUGAGGGCAGCGCCACCCGAUCCAUCGCGGCUCAUCCCUGCGUCCUGCUCAGGGCUUCACACCCAGCAAGGACAUAAUGAGCAUGCGCAGAAGGAAGGCAAGAAGAAAAAAAGGAAUGAAUCACCACAAGUGGGAGGUAUUCUGGUGCCCAUUCUAGGGCUGGGAGAAAGGACAGAGCAAGGCGACCAGUGCGGGUGUUCUAGCCAUGAGUUAAGCAGGCAAUCCACCGUGUGCGUGGUCCAUUGGACUGGGGAGCAAAGGGCUCCAGCCCACCUGGGGAUAAACUUUUGCUCCAGUACUAGCCCUGAGGAAGCAGAAUUGGAAAGAACACCUGAUUCUUCAGAAGCCCUGCAGAGCCUUCUAGUGGGAUUUGGGAUUAUCUGCUCCAGGGAUCACUCAGUCAGUUUUCCACCUAUUAAAUAGUUGAGAUUUGACUACCGGCUAAUCUUUCUGAGCCUCAAUUUCCCCAGCUUGUCAAAGAGACAGUUGGUCCCAGCUGACCCCAAAGGUCCCUCCCAGCUCUGAAGCUUGAAGUUGUGUGCUGUGCUAAGUCGCUUCAGUUAUGUCUAACUCUUUGCAACCCCAUGGACUGUAGCCCACCAGGCUCCUCUGUCCAUGAGAUUCUGCAAGCAGAAGUACUGGAAUGGGCUGCCAUGCCCUUCUCUAGGGGAUCUUCCUGAUCCAGGGAUUGAACUGGCAUCUCUUAGAUCUACCAGCAUUGGCAAGUGGGUUCUUUACCACUAGCGCCAUGUGGGAAGCCCUUUCAACUAAUUCUCUCUGUGUCAUCCUGAGGCUGGACAAGUCCCACCCUAGAUUCUCGGUGGCCAAUUCCAAGGGGACCUGUGCGCUCCUCUAAGCCUUGCAGAGCCCUGCUUCCCCAGCAGCUGUAGGGUCCCUCCCCAUCCCUGGGCCGGAGCUCAGCCAGUUGCUAGGCGGAUUCCAUACCACUGAGCCACCAGGGAAGUCCCAUCUGUGCAUCUCUGAUUUAUCUCUUCAACAAGGCCAGGAGGGCCCAGCCUUGCCGGCUUGAGGACUCAGUAAAUAUUUGUGGACUUAUCAACUGAUUGAUUGGUGCGGUCAGACAGGAGGCCUGGGACAAAGAUGCCUGAGAACUAAGAAGUGUCCCUCUCACCCUGGGCCCAGUGUCAGGGAGCUGGAGACACACAGGUGGAGACUCCAGGGCCCAGCAGUUCCAAGAUGGUGGACCCCUGGGCUCUGAACCUUGUGGACCCCAAAACUUGUAUCUCGCCAACAACCAGGAUGGAUGGAGGCCCAGCUCCACGUGGGAUGAUGACACAAGUCAUCCUGCCCUCAUCCCGCCCCUGCCUUGGGGUCCUCAGGAGUCAGGUGGACAUAAAAGAGAUGACGCUAUCAGGGCCGGAUCCAUGAGGGUGAAGGAGUGGCCAUCGACUGCCUGAGGACAGCAGCAGAAGGAGCAUCAGGACCGCCUCUGGGUUCCAGCACCGCACACACCGGAACUCAGUUAUAUGUCACACACUUGUGUUGUUGCUGCUGUCCAGUCACUCAGUCACGUCCGACUCUUUUCGACCCCUUGAACUCCCUGUCCUUCAGCAUCCCCUGUGGUUUGCUCAAGUUCAUGCCCAUUGAAUCAGUGAUGCCAGUUCAACACUUCUGUACUCUACUCCUAUUAUCCCCAUUUUACUGAUGUCGAAACUGAGGGUCAGAAAAGACUGUUCCUUGCUCAAGACUGCACACAUAGAAAUAGCAGAAUCAAGAUAUAGACAGCUAAGAAAAUAAUAAGGCAAGUUACAGCCGAGGAGAAAAUAUUUACAAUACAUAUAUCUGACAAAGGUAUAAAAAAAUACAUGUACAUGUGACAAUACAUGUAUAGCCAACGAACGUUCAUGACUCAGUAACAAGAAUACAAUCUAAUUUUUUUUCCUUUUUGAUCACACCAAGUAGCUUGCAGGAUCUUAGUUCCCCGACCAGGGAUGGAACCCGGGCUGCAUGAGUGAAACCACCAAGUCCUGACCACUGAACUGCCGGGGAAUUCCCCACAAACAGUCUAAUUUUUAAAUGGCCCAAAGAACAUACAGAAUGGCCAAUAUGCAUGAAAGAGAUAUUUGACAUCACUCAUUAUCAUGGAAAUGCAAAUUAAAACCACAACAACUACCACCACACAUCCAUCAGAAGACUAACCGUGCUAAGUGUUGGUGAGGUUGUAGAACAACUGGAACUCUCAUAGGCCAAGAAUAGAAAUGUUCGAUGGUACAACUACUCUAGAAAAGGUGAUCCGUUUCUUUCAAAGUCAAACAUACAAUUACCAUAGGACCCAGUCAUUCCACACCCCCAAGAAACAUCUUCACAUGCAGACUUGCCCACCCAUGUUUGCAGCAGCUUAAUUCACAGCAGUCCAAACCUGGAAACAACGCAAAUGUCCAUCAACAGGUGGCCAAACUGUCAUACAUUCCAACAGUGGGAUCAUACGCAGCAAUAAAAAGGUAUAAACUACUGGCAAAACAACAACGUGGAUGAAUCUCAUAAACAUCAUGAAAAGUGAAAAGCAGCCAGAUGCCAAGAGUACAUAUUACAUAAUUCCAUUUAUAUGAAACUCUAGAAAA